CCCCAAAAUACCCUGCACACUACUGUUCGGCCUUCAUCUCUUUCAUCUUCUUCCCCCGAAACCCUCAUCCCCCCUCCUCGUCGCCAUUCGUUGACAGGCUUCCUUCCGGCCGAAGCGAGUCAUAAUCGCUUCACCUCGUCGCCGUCGGUUGUAAGGGCUUCACCUCCGGUUGUAAGGGCUUCACCUUCCCCGAAAAUCUCAUCCCCUUCCUCGUCGCCGUUGCUUGUAAGGCCUUCACCGACGGCCCAAGCGCCUGGUUCUUUCUCCUCCUCGCUUCGGGUCAACCCACACAACCGGAUCGGCUAGAUUUGGGUAGAUCCGUGCCGGCCUUCACCUGCGAUUUGGGGGUUUUCUCUUGGUCUCAGAUUAGGGUAUUUCCUCUAUUUCUGUUGCCGUCGAGGAGGCUUCGUGUCGCAACCUUGCUUGCUCUUCGGCUCAGAUCGCGCGAACUAAGGCCAGAAUCAUUCACUCGCAUUGUUUGGCCCCACUCCUUGCUUCAGCCAAACCCUGACUUUGGAGCUUCAUAGGCCGAGGUUGGCCGAGGUUGCCUUGUGCUUCUUGAUUUUUGGUCGCUUCGCCUCUGAGCUUGGUUAUUUUGCUAUAAUCAGAAUGCUAUUGGUGCGAUCGACGGAUCACAUAUUUCAAUGGCAGUCUGAAGGAGCAAACAAGUACGAUUUUGCUAUCGGAAAGGGUUUACCUCACAAAUUAUGAUGGCUGCUGUGUCAUCGAUCAUAAUUUUGUAUUUGUAUGCACGGGUUGGGAAGAAUCUACUGCCAAUAUGAAAGUACUUCGAUGGGCGUGCGAAAAUGGAGGUUUCGUUGUUCCCAAAAGACGCUGAUGAAAAUGCAGAAUCUGGUUUUUUGGAAGGAUAUGAUGAGUCUCGACAUGGCGAGGAUUUCCAUGCUAAUAUUACAAACCAAUUGUGUAGUAGAACUUAGUUUCUUGAAUUAUAUUGCUAUUUGGUAGAACUAAAUAUAGUGCUUGUAUUGGAUUUUGACUAAACUAAGAUGAUGAUGUGUGAAAUGCAUGUGGUUUGUAAUAAUUGCUUACUUGUUUCUUUGAAAUU